UGGGGAAUAUUGGACAAUGGGCGCAAGCCUGAUCCAGCCAUGCCGCGUGAGUGAUGAAGGCCCUAGGGUUGUAAAGCUCUUUCACCGGUGAAGAUAAUGACGGUAACCGGAGAAGAAGCCCCGGCUAACUUCGUGCCAGCAGCCGCGGUAAUACGAAGGGGGCUAGCGUUGUUCGGAUUUACUGGGCGUAAAGCGCACGUAGGCGGACUAUUAAGUCAGGGGUGAAAUCCCGGGGCUCAACCCCGGAACUGCCUUUGAUACUGGUAGUCUUGAGUUCGAGAGAGGUGAGUGGAAUACCGGGUGUAGAGGUGAAAUUCGUAGAUAUUCGGAGGAACACCAGUGGCGAAGGCGGCUCACUGGCUCGAUACUGACGCUGAGGUGCGAAAGCGUGGGGAGCAAACAGG
rnacentral:rRNA from 1 species